GAAAAAUUAGUUAAAUAUGUAUAACAUUAAAUUGUCAAUUUAAAGUUAAUAAUAUAAAUUUAUUAUUUUUCU
rnacentral:tRNA from 1 species